GCCAUGAAUCUCUGCAUCUGCUUCCAUCAGUUACUGGAUAAACGUUCUAUCAUGACAGUUAGGACGUUCAGCCAUCUGAUCACCAGAAUAGGUAGAACAGGCAGUAAGAUUUCAGAUGUCUUGAAGAUCUAAAAAUUGAGUACAUCUGAUAUAGUUAAUAAAAGUCAAUGCCUUGGCAUCUAGAAUUUUGCAAUGAAAAUGCACUACCUUAUGAGUUGUCUUCAAAAUGGAAAUGCGUUGGAAGUAAAGAUGUCACCCAAGAUAUGGGGCUCAAGCAAGAUGCAAAAUGACGCUUUUCAAGCCAUCACUCAUUGGUUGUAAGGCCUUUUGCAUCAUGCUGACAUCUGUGCUGGGCCUUGAAGCUAAGUAACAGCCAGACAAGAAGGCAAAAGAGAAAGGACAUUCUGACUAGCAUGACUUCAUCAGUGAAAGCUGGAUGCCUGGAGUUAUGGGAAAAAAAUAGCAUGGAAUGAUGUCAACUAAUGGUUACAGUCACUACUAAUAAAGGUCUAAAUUUGGAGGAUAA